CCUACGGGUGGCAGCAGUAGGGAAUAUUGCUCAAUGGGGGAAACCCUGAAGCAGCAACGCCGCGUGGAGGAUGAAGGUUUUCGGAUUGUAAACUCCUUUUGUUAGAGAAGAUAAUGACGGUAUCUAACGAAUAAGCACCGGCUAACUCCGUGCCAGCAGCCGCGGUAAUACGGAGGGUGCAAGCGUUACUCGGAAUCACUGGGCGUAAAGAGCGCGUAGGCGGGAUAGCAAGUCAGAUGUGAAAUCCUAUGGCUUAACCAUAGAACUGCAUUUGAAACUGUUAUUCUAGAGUAUGGGAGAGGUAGGUGGAAUGCUUGGUGUAGGGGUGAAAUGCGUAGAUAUCAAGAGGAAUACUCAUUGCGAAGGCGGCCUGCUAGAACAUAACUGACGCUGAUGCGCGAAAGCGUGGGGAGCAAACAGGAUUAGAUACCCUUGUAGUC
rnacentral:rRNA from 1 species